CAUCCAUCCACCUAAAGAAAAGAAAAAAAAACCCACCCAAUCCAUCCAUCUCUCUCUCACUUCUCCCUCGAUAUCUCUCUCAGCUCUCCUGCCCGAUCCCCUCUGUCUCCGCCGCCGGCGCCGCCGCUCGAUUCCGGCCACUGCCGGCAUGCUUCGCCGCCGUACUUGCCACCUACUGCUCCCUCUCGAGCUGAUCUACCUUCUCCACCCGCUCGAUUUGCUUAUCCUCUCUCGCGCGCGCGAGUCCCCCUCUCCCUACGCGACUCCAUGCCACCGCCGCCGCCCACGCCGGCGGGUUCCGGCGAUUUCCACCGGGGCGCAGCAGGCUUCCGCGCUCCCCUCUCACCGGUCCUUCAUCCAGUAUGGCCAGAUCCGCCGGGCGUGGCCCCUACCCUCACCCACGGCUAGGGAUUUGGCGGCUCCAACGUCGGCCUGGCUCAAGUAGGUCACCCAUCACGCGGACGGGUCGAAGCGCUGGAUCUCGGGACAGGGCGGCGCGGAGGCCUUCCUCCCAUAGGAUUCCGAGCUCGACGAGCCUAGCGGCUGCCGUCCUUGCCCCGCUCGAGGAGGAGGGGCGCACCUAGCAGGCCACCAAUGGCCUGUUCUGCUCCUCGUCUUCCUCCACUGCCUGGACCACCACGCCUUCAACAGCGGGCUGCUGCAGCAUCGACCGGUGAUCCUUCCUUCCUCCAGUCUUUGCUUGCAGUUAGCCUUUUAGGGCCAAUCAAAUCCAAUGUGCUAGUUUAGUUUGCCACAGUUUGGUGACACUCCCAUCUGAAUAUGUCCUUGUAGCUUGGAGUGCUUUGGGUUUCAGUUAACUCGUGCGUACUUGUAUAGAACAGAAAAAAGAAGAAGAGAUCAAUUCGGUUUCAAAGAGAGAGAGAGACGUGCACUACAACACGUACAGCAUUACGAGGCACUCUAAAAUGCCUCCAAAGGCCAUGGAAGUGCCUGUACAUGUCUUUUUGCGGCAUUCCUUCAAAACGCUAGAGAUGGCAGCGAAGGGAAAAGUAAAUAAAGGCGUUUUGCAGUA